AGAGGCAUAAACCAACGGAGACGGGCAGAAAACCGAGUGACAGUCUGCACUGAUCCAAGCAACAACAGCAAAAAGCCUUACAACAGAGAAAGACCUACUUUCAUGCUUCAAGGUAAAGAGAGACCAACUAGAUCACGUUUGUGUUGGAGGGUAAGUUUAGAGACACAAGGAAAAAGCAGAGCAGCUCAUUCAACAGUGUGUGAAAGUUCAGGAAAUGCUGACCAAGGUUGUGUUAGCUUCAUGCGUGGUGCUGUGGGUCAGUUCUACCUCGGCUCAGGAGCCAUUCAUGACCAGAGCCCUUCAGCUGAUGUCUGAGACGCCGCUCAUCGAUGGCCAUAACGACCUGCCCUGGCAGCUUCGGAAGCAGUUCAACAAUGAGCUCAACAAAGUGGAUCUUCACACACUGCAGACAACACACACCAACAUCCCUAAGAUCAAGCAGGGACGGCUUGGUGCACAGUUCUGGUCGGCCUACGUGCCCUGUGACACUCAGUACAAAGAUGCUGUCAGACAAACACUGGAGCAGAUAGAUGUGGUCCACAGGAUGUGCCUGAAAUACCCAGAAACCUUCAUGUUUGCCACCAGCAGCCAAGAAAUCAUGGACGCCUUCAGAAUGAACAAGACAGCCAGUCUGAUCGGGGUGGAGGGCGGUCACUCCAUCGACAGCAGCCUGGGCACCCUGCGCACCAUGUACCACCUGGGGGUCCGAUACCUCACACUCACGCACUCCUGCAACACACCCUGGGCAGAUAACUGGCUUGUUGACACCGGAUCAGAACCAUCUGAGCACAAUGGUCUGUCUCCAUUUGGCAAGCAACUAAUUUUGGAAAUGAACCGUUUGGGGAUGCUGAUCGAUCUGGCUCACGUGACUGUAGCAGUGAUGAACCAGGUGCUGGACAUGUCCAAAGCUCCAGUGAUCUUCAGCCAUUCUUCUGCAUACAGCGUCUGUCCACACAAGAGAAACGUCCCAGACGAUGUUCUCAGGAAAGUGAAAGAAAAAAGAGGAGUCGUGAUGGUGAACUUCUACAACGACUAUGUGACCUGCAGCAAGACUGCCAAACUCUCAGAUGUUGCUGAUCACUUUGACCAUAUAAAGAAAGUGGCCGGAGCAGAUAUCAUCGGUUUCGGUGGAGAUUAUGAUGGAGUUACCAGACUACCUGAAGGUUUGGAGGAUGUGUCCAAGGUUCCCAGCUUGGUGGCUGAACUACUGAGGAGAGGAUGGACUGAUGAGGAAGUCAAAGCUGCUCUUGGAAAUAACCUGCUCCGGGUCUUCACAGAGGCUGAGAGCAUUCGCGACAGCCUGAAAGCCACAGAUCCAGAUGAUGUUCCAAUUCCAUAUGACGCGGUGCAGAACCCGUGCAGGACGAGCCACGGUUACGCCGGCGACGCUGGAGCUGUUCAUUCAGUCAGCAUGCUGACCCUCCUGCUCACACUGGCUCUGCAGGUUUGGGUCCAUUAACAGCUGGAUGUCCUGCUGAUCAAGGCGACUGACUGUAUGCAUGCAUUUGUGACUGUAAGGAGCUUCAUCGUGUAGAUUUAAUUCCAAUUUUUACUCCGUUAUCUUGAGUUAAAUGACAAAAAACAACAAUGUAUGAGUUAACUUAAUGACAAAGAAAGUGGCACAAUAAUUUCCAUGUCAGAGCUGAGUUUGUUCAAACCUGAGUUUCAGCUCAUGACUGUUUUAUCCACCGUAAACUGUCAUAAGAGGCUGCAGUGGGAACAUGUCAGUGUGAUGGUCAGUGCUGUAAAGCAGACGCUGUUCUUAGGGUUUUCCAUGAUUUAAUAAAAUAAAUUACAAGACUGAA